AGCUAUUUCAGAAUCUGAAAAACUUAAUGAAUCCUUAUAGGGUUGCCUUUGAGUCUCCACUUGAACUAUCAGCUCAAGGUAAGCAAAUGAUUGAGACUUACUUUGACUUCCGCCUUUACCGCCUGUGGAAGACCCGCCAGCACUCUAAACUAUUGGAUUACGAUGACAUUUUAUGAGCUGGAGAAGACUUUGCAAGAGGAAGUUGAUCACCAGUGUCCAAGAAGUCAUGCUUAUUGCAGAGGGACUUUUUUAUUGGCACAGGGAGCCCUUCAAAGCCCUACAGGAGGCAGCAGUGCUAAAGGGAGGGAAGAAGGAGCCCUCAGAAGUGUGUCGGGAGGAAAGUCUCCUGGGUCAAGAGGGACUGGAGGGAAAGGGUUUGACACCUCACUUGCCUCGGGUCAGAGCCGUGGUGUCUCAGGAGGAGCUGUGUGAUGAAACGAGGACAGGAUGGAGUUCCUUGCAGAACUGAGCUGUUUUUGGGUCAGAUUUGAUUCCAGGUCCUUUUAAAGACUUUAGAAGCUCAGGUUUUCUUACAAAAAAUAAAAUCAAUUACCCAUGCACUACAAUGAAGAAGUGACCAGAGCACAGAGGAAGGAGCGGUUUGUACUUGAUGGGACCUUCUGUGCUGGAGAUCUUGGAGAGCAAGGACUGCUACCCUUACUCCUGCAAGCUUAGACUAAGACGAUCCAGUUUCAAUGUGAAUAUAUACUGGAAUAUAGAAUUGAAAUCUUAACUUUUUUUUUUGUUUUGUUUAAUAGAAAAUAAGUGCAAUUUUUAUAGCGAGGGGGGUGAAAUCUCUCCCAAUAUUUAAUUAGUUAAAAAUAACACACCAGUAACCAAUAGAUGAGGUAUUUUUGGUCUGCUUGAAAAUAUAUUCAAAAUGGUAAUAUAUCUUCUGUAGACAUAUUUAAUCACCAGCAAACAUGGUUUUAACAUAA